AUGCGGCGGUUGUCACUAAUCGAUUCAGAUUAUUCCCCGGCGCUCAACACUGGCGAUGGCGGAAGGCGCGUCGACACUCGGUUAACAUCAUUGCAAACUUUUUUCUUUUAUUCUUCCAUCUAUCCUUACAUCCAUUUAUUUAUCCCCUAAUGCUUAUUUUUUUUCUACUCGCCUUCCGCCAUCACCAUUGUUGAACGUCAGUUAAUAAUCUGAAUCGUUUAGUGACAACCGCCGCAU
rnacentral:miRNA from 1 species